AACGAACGCUGGCGGCAGGCCUAACACAUGCAAGUCGAGCGACCCGCAACGGCAGCGGCGGACGGGUGAGUAAAGCGUGGGAACGUGCCCUUUGCUAUGGCAUAGCCUCGGGAAACGGGGCGUAAUACCGUCUGUGAUCUUCGGGGCAAAGAUCUAUCGGCAAAGGAUCGGCCCGCGUUGGAUUAGGUAGCUGGUGGGGUAAUGGCCUACCAAGCCGACGAUCCAUAGCUGGUUUGAGAGGAUGACCAGCCACACUGGGACUGAGACACGGCCCAGACUCCUACGGGAGGCAGCAGUGGGGAAUCUUGGACAAUGGGGGAAACCCUGAUCUAGCCAUGCCGCGUGAUCGAUGAAGGCCUUAGGGUUGUAAAGAUCUUUCAGUGGGGAAGAUAAUGACGGUACCCACAGAAGAAGCCCCGGCUAACUCCGUGCCAGCCGCCGCGGUAAUAC
rnacentral:rRNA from 1 species